CUAUCAUCUGUCUUUUUCUUCCACAUACAUAGUAUGUGAAGACUGUUUAAACAGAUAUGCACCUAUUUAAGCUUUGGCAGAAACAUCUAAAAAUAUACUUGAAAAUCACUUGUUUCAACUCACUAGUUACCAUUUUCAAUUUUUUUUCGAUAAAAUAAUUUCAUCUCCUAUAAAUGAACUAUGUUUGUUAUAAAAAACAAUGCACAGACGUAUUAUUUGUGUGGAGACCUAUUUGUAAAUCAUUGAUAUAUAUCUAUAUAUUAACACAUGUCUACUAGGCACUUUUCUUGCAAUAUCUACUCCCAGUUUCAAUUAAUUAGCCUUGUAGCUUAUUUUUUAAGUUUGAUUCAUUAAAAAAAAUUGAGUUGGACUAUAGAAACCUUAUUUUAUGCAAGGCAAGAUUGUCCACCAUCUACGUUACUAUAUUAAUAUAACAGAAACCUCUCUUUAAAUGGUUGCUCCUCUCAGGUAUAGCUGAUAUAUCAUGGUAUUUCUGAUAAUUAUAGCAUUAAACACCUUAUUUGAUAUAUAUGCAUGUUUGACUUAUAAUUUCCUGGCAGUAAUGAACCAUUCAUUUCGGGGGUUAGGCCUCAGGCAAUAUCAUGCAAACUUGAAAAAAUAAAUUUUUCUUGUAGUUUCAUUAACAUCCACUGAAAAACUUAUAUCACAUAAGGUUUCCUGAAAAUGAAAGUAAUGUCAAAUCUUAAAAAAAAAAUUAAAAUUAAAAAUCAGCAACUUGUUCUUUGGGUGUUCUUGCUCAAAUAUUUAAAUGAUGCAUAAUUUUAGAAUCUAUGAUUUAUCUUACAUCUUGUGUUGGAUUCAUUUAUGGCACUCAAAGGGUUAAAGGAGAAAAAACCCUGCAUGAAUAUUAACUGAUUAUCCAAUUAUUAUAUCUUUAGUAAUUGUUUAGUGACUUGGUUAUUUAUAGUAUUCAAAUUUAAAGUAGCUAGAACUUUUGCAUUUACGCAAAGUUGACUUCUGGAAUAAACUGGCAAGUUAUUCCUAAAUUGUGUGCACUAAAUACUCUCAACAGCUGUAAAGUAUGCUCAUAUAUUCUUUGGAAGAAAAGGGCUAUAAAACGAUUCUGUC